GAGCUGACCAAAUAGUAUCAAAUUACUGGCGCAAACUCAAACAAAGAAAUAUAGUCCAGCUGUAGAGAGGGAGAGCGCAUUUUGUUUUGGAAUGUGUGAAGCACCACAUCGACCAUUGAGGCAAAAUGAUUUGGAUUUUAUCAUCGCAACAGUGAAAUGUUGUUCGACAUCGUGUACGUGUACCGAAGCAAAAUUGGGAGCCCCAUGAUUAUAUCUCAGGAAACUCGAUUGAAUAGACGGAAGGAAGAUCAAUGAAUUCUUGUUUAGAAGAAAUGACGACUCUGUGAUUUGAACAAACUUUUGAUAUGUGUAUCAUAUGUGUGUUAUGGCGAAUUUGUUGCUCCUUGUUGGCUAAUUUGGAACUAUUGUGAGGAAAUUAAAUCCCUAAAUAAAUAAA